CCGGCAACGUUACUGACAGUCAGAUAGCUUUGCCGUCCUAAUCCAGCGCUGCUCAGUGCCUGCCCACUCACGGUUACGUGGCUGUCGCCACCCACACGUGUCACUAUAGGGCAACCAGGCACGGUUUUUUUAUUGAAGGCUAUAUUAAUGACGUGCUCGGACGCUUCAAAUGGUACAAAGCUAACGGAGAAUCGCGCGUUUCCUUGCGGUGUUACUUGCGUCGGUAUAUUUUGCCCGCGAGCCGAUAUCGUGAUCUCUAAAUUUCCUUCACCAGCUUGACUCGCAUCGACUGUCGACAAUAAGAUUGUGUAUCAAUUAGAAUUUCGACAUCAAUAUGCAAGGUGCGUGUUAAAAGAAAUAUAUUCCAAUAUUUAUUUAACUGUCAACACUAUUAUGUACCGGUAAAGUGGGUCGGUUGACCAACACUGCCUCUAGCUACAGGUCCUAUUAGCACAUUAUCAGCAUUGAACGCUUUGGCUAAAAACGGCGUGCCAUUUACGGGAUAACCGUUGUAUUCUACGCUGAUUGAAUGUACACCCACGUCCCUUGGUAUAAAUUCGGCGGUGAAGCCGUUACUUACGUCGCCAGUAACUUUGACUGGCAAUUCGCUGUUCGGUCCUGAAAGAAUAGUUGUUUAAAAUAUUUAUACAAUUGGACAAUUGGAAUUAAACGAUUGUUAGACAAUUAUAAAUCAAUAAUAAUUUCAUUAUUAUAACUUGAUAGAUAUAUAAUAUUUUAAUAUUCCAUGAAACUCGAAAUAUAUUGCGCAAUUUAAGAAUUUAUACAUAGAUUUCAGUUUCUAUCAGUCUUAUUUAUAAUAGUAAAUGUUUGAAGCAUCACUAACCCCUUACGGAAACCGCUAGCUCUGCACUGCCACUUCCGUCAACUCCCAUGUGGAAGCUGGCAGGAUGAUUGACAGGAAUUAGUUCUAAAUGAUUCAUACUCAAUGUAACUCUGCUCGUGUCAGAUACGUUGCAGACAAAGGGACAUCCACGUACUGCUUCUCCGUUAAACUUGAUGUCGAUGUAGUGAGGCUUGGCGAUUUCGGGGGUGAAGGAUACAAGACAACGACCACCACCCACUACUUGAACAUGAUUGGGCACUUCUCCCUCAUUUAUAGAGAUUUCUAGUUGGCCUUCUCCCGCAGCGCUGGCAUCCACUGUAAACAUUCAAAGAUUCAAGACACAUUCGUAGACACAAGAGUUAUAUACAAUAAUAUUGUACAAUUAUUGAGCUACCUCUGAAUUGACAGGCGUGGCCAACUACGGCGCUAGGUACGUCAGUAACUUGGAUGAGACUACUAUUGUACACCUUGGCGACGAGGGGUCCUGCCGGUAGCUUUUGUCCCGCGAUGCUGACUUCCACCAGGUGGCUGCCUACUUCAGUUGGUGUAAAUUCGACGCGAAACUCGCCGGAUCGUCCUGGCUCUUCGUCAAUCCUCGCAGAGAUGUGUCUCUUUGAGGGUGCUGCAAAAUUCAUCGAAUAAGUUAAGUGUAUCAAGUAUAUUCGCAAAUUGUCUGGAAGAUCAAUUGACAAAUCAAUUUACACUCACUUAUAAUCUUGACGUCGAUCUCGCUGCUGCUGAAGCCUAGUGCAGACAGCUCGAAGACAGCAGGACUACCAGCAGGAACCAGCCUGAUUGAAUCACCGAUCACUGACAUCUUCGGUGCAGGCAUGAUGCCAACUCGCCAAGGUGACCCUGAUGACAAUUUGCAAUUAAAGUAAUAAAUUCUGGUGCAAAAAACACAUCAGACUCAUAAGUAACUAUAAAUAAUUCAAAAUACUAUUUAUUAUAACUUUGUUAUAGGUAAUUAACUGUGUUUUUCACACACAAAUUUUAUUAUUCCACUUUUUAUUAAUCCCGCCAAAUUUCAUAUUUCCCGCCAAAUCGCUUGAAAAUAUAUAGGGACUUUCAACAAUUUCCGCCAGCUGUCACUUGUCAUCAGUCUUGUCACGCGAUUUGACACUUUGCAUAUGGAUGGUUUCUUGCGUCUCACGAUUAUUUUCAUCCCCGAAAGUGCAACGUGACUCGCCCUCUAACCUUCUUGCCACGCGCACGACGCGCUGUCAAACCAGCUCUCUUCUCCUGGAAAAAAAAUCCACUCGUACGUCCAAUUAACUCGCUCCAAGAUAUGAGUGGCGUCGCGCGAAACGAGUUUGAACCUGCAUCGAAACCGGUAUGCUAGAUCCCGAAGAAUGCGAUCUUCGAAAUUAUCUUCGUCGUGGAAAGAAAAGAGAAGAAAAAAAAAUCGAGUCUUACGUCGACUCCACUAUCGCGCAUGACAUCACGAGACGGAAACCUGUUGGAAUUCGAUUCAAAUCUCAACAAAGAUACUGAAGUAUGUCGUCGAUUACCUCGGCGAGUCGCAACGACGCGGGAGACCUGGAAAGACGCUGGAAGAACCUAGAUUACGAAGAAAAGGGGAAGAGAGGGGAAGUGGGAGGAGCGCGGGUGGAUCCAGAUUGAUCUGGCGAUCGAGCGAGGACGCACGAAUGACAGAUGCACCUGGACGACGCGCAUCGAUCCUUCAGGAUCUACGCCGAGAAGAAGGCGGACGGUCCCACCUUACUCUCGAGGAUCGACGACGACCGCGACGAUGUCGCCAGCCUCCCGCAGCUGCAUCACGUAUCCGAACGUGUAUAUUGGAAGAAGAGAGUCGUCUUCUUCUUCUUCUUGCGGAAGAGAAACCCUGAAGAAGAAGCACGCACUAGAGAAACGCGCACGGAACAACCGGGCGGGGAAGAGACGACCUCGACGACCCGCAGCGAACGCAGGACCUCGCGCGAUCCGCGACGAAACGCAACGCGGCGGACGGGACGACGUGCCUGUGUGUUGUGCGCGGCCCACCUCGGCUCGACUCGGGCCCCAGAACCCAGGGCCGUACCAUCCUCUCGACCCAACUCGCAAGCGCCCCGUCACCGAUACUGUACACCGGAGACGGUCAUUCUCACAAUUACGCUUGACCUGUAUUCCUAGCACAUAUUCAGCGAGUUUUGUAAUUCUAGGAAUCUGAUUUCAAAAGACCUGCGAUGUGGAGAACAAAAGAGACAUUGUUCUGAAGAGAUCAUCCAAAGUCUUCAGAUAUAUGUUAACUAUUUGCAAGAGUGCAUCACUUUGCAGCUACCUAUUGAAGGAUUCACCUAUUCUCGCGUUGACAUUGAAGAAACGAGAUUCCUAGAGCGAUUAUGCUUCAGAUUUUUCAGCUGGAAGGGAUCAACGAUCGACCGAUCUCGAAUAUCGUCACUUUCUCCGCCUGCGAUCCAUCGUUCAAUCAUGUUUUUCCACAUUAUUGGCAUACUUUUUAUAUAAAACAUGAAAUUCUCGUGCAUUCGAAAGUCUACAGGUCGUCGUACGAGAAUGUGAAUAUUUCUAUUCAGCUGCGGUUUCCCAGGUACCAUACAUGUUGGUCUCAUUCGCGGAGAACAGCUGACGGUCGCACAAAGGACAAGAGUUCCAACAACAUCUAAUCUAGUUAUAGUGUCCUCUUAUCGAUGAAGGCCUGUCUAGUUUUGGAACAAUGGAAACAUGGGAAAAGUUUGCCGUGCAAAUUUCAUUUUUAAUUCAAGGCGUAUACGCUACAUUCUUUGACGACGAAGAAGUUACGUCGAAGCGACCGUGCACGGUUGAAUCGCUGCUGCAUUCCCAGACAUAACGGGUCGUCCGGCACGCAACCAGCAGAUCCAAAAUUGUCGAAAACUCCCCGGCCUCACAUGCUACACCGAAAGUUCCAAGCUGUCACGCGACUCUAGAGAUCGGAGAUAGCCAUUUCCUCGUGAGGGAUCCGAAAUUUUUAAUUGAUGGAGACCUGGCGUGUUCUACUUGCGUUCUUCAAGUAGUUGCAUGACUUUGCAACAAAGAUAAUCGACCGGUAGGCGAGAGACGCGGGGAAGACUUUCGGAAAAAGUAUAAAGCGGAGAUAAAGUUGUGUACAAGACAGGCCGAGGAGGAGAUCAACGAUAACUUUCCUGAACGCGGUACAAGAACACAUAAGAGUACAUUCCACGUGAUUCCUGAUCGGCGCGGCUGCACCUUUAUGGGGUGUCGCGCGGGAAAACAACCGAGUUCGUUUAUUUCUUCGGAUCGAUGAUAACGGUCCGCUUCGCUGUAUGAUUACGCGAAAGGAAGCAGAACUUAAUAUAAAAUUCUGCGGAAUGUAACCGGCAGAAUGUAACGACGCAAAGGCGGAUGAAUAUUCCGUUCAUGUAAAGGAUACCGUACCAAAUUAAAUAGGAUGUAGGCUGUUUUUUUUCAUAGUCGUAGCUUAUGACUUGUUGGACAAGAGAUGUAAUAGCAUUAGAUAAGCUACAACAUAUGAGAAAAGCUGAUCUUACCAAGAUUCAAUUUUAUAUGAUUAGUACAUGAACAUUUUUGAACAUUUAUUAGUACAUGAACAUUUUUGAACAUUUAUUAAAUCCUAAAUGAAAUCGAAUCCCAGUAAAAUCAGCUGAUUUUCUCACAUGUAAUUUAUGAUUUACUGAACAAAAAUGUAAAUGUAAUAGGCUCAAAGUUAAAUAAUAGAUGGUUACUGAUUUACAGCCAGUCAAACAUGAAAAACAAAGAUUUUGUGAGUUGUUUGACUGGCUGUAACCAACCCAGUAAUUAUCCAAUAUUUAGAUACUAUUACAUCUUUUGUUCAGCAGGACAUAAGUUACAACAUAUGAAACAGCCAAUAUCCUAUAUAUGUAUUUGGUGCAGGAUCUUACUUUUUUCAUAAUUAUUGAAAUUCAUGUAAUUAUUUCUAAUUUAAUUUAUGCAUUCGCGUUUCUCGUCAAUUUAUUUCUCUUUUGUUUUAAUAAUGUAACUUUAAAGAAAUGGAAUCGUGUGACUCACAAAGGGCUAAUGUAGAAAUUAUACCGAGACACUAGGUGUUGCACAAGGUAUACGACCGCGUGCUGAAUUGUGUUUAUAGUCACAUAGGUAGGUAGAUAGAGAGCGGCUGUGCGUAUCCUCAUUCGUAACCAAAUACGUCUGUACGCCGACAUAGGUUUCGCAGCCACACCUACGAUCGUACACGGUAUUCAUUACUAUGCUCAUAUUCCAUGCGCAAUUUCCAUAGCGGAUGCAAAUGAAAUAUGGACCGAAGGAAUGCACCGAAGUGCAUUUGGUCCAAUUACGCAAUACUCGACAUACUCUCGUAAAUUUCGAAGAUCUUCAUGUGUGAUUUUUUUUUAAUAAUGAGAGUGAUGAGAAAGUUCUUCACGAAGGUUCAUGCAUGUGUGUAUCCGUAUUGCGAUAUUUAGACUCUUCAACUUAUUUUUAAUUAAUCUUCAUAUUUUAAUCUCUCUCUAAAAAUUAAUUUUAAUUAUUUCAAUUUUUGUUCGAUAGUCGGAUAGAUGCACUCUUAUAUAAGAGAUCACAUAGCGACAUUAUAGGGAAAUAAUUUGCGUUUACAAAACCUACGUGAAGUAUCGAAAGACGCAGAGAGAAGAACUGGUAUUCUUCAUUUCUCGUCAGCAAUGUGCGAGAGGAAAGGGUAGAGAUAAUAACGUGGUUACUCCGAGAGAGUGUAUCGCUACUUCCCUGCGUGAACAACACGCAGUCACGACUGCGGAGAGUGCGCUAUACAUGGCAUCCAAAUAAUAUUAUUCGUGCAGUAGCGUAGUUAUGUAUCCUCUAGUAUCUCUACGGAUAACAUACAUACACAACAAUUUCACUUUCUCAAAACAUUUCUUCCCUUCUCGAAGAGAAGCUUCUAACUUGUCAAUAACUGAAUAAAUUAAUAAAUAUAGAUAUCAAAUAUAAAUAGAUCUAAAAAUCAUUCAGAUUUAACUUUGAUUUCAAGUAAAUUUUGGAUCACGAAAAAUUAAAUAUAAAUUAAUUACAUAUUUUUUUCUACUGCGCUCUUCCUGGAAGUUGGAUCCUGGAUCUCUACACUGUUUUACGAUCAAGAUACAAUAGUGGUAACGCGACUUAAACGGCACGAGAGGAGAGACGGACGUCUCGUCAUUUGGUCAUUGUGGCUCGCGGCCUCGGAACGGUGGGGUAGCGGCGGAAAAAUUAGCUUCGAGCAAGAAGCCGGGACGAAGAAAACGAUGACGUCGCAUAUGGGUCAGUGGGACGUCACGUGAAUGCGUGAAAUCGCAAGUCAACGACCUGCUCGAUGACCCGCUGACUUAGAGACACGCUUGCUUCGCGCGCCUGGGACGCGGAUGAACUCGAUCACCCUGUGUACACUCCUGUGGAUGGCUUCUCGUACGAAGGAAAAGUAUGCGAGGCACGAAAAGUAGCAUGAAACGCUUAGAGGCACUUAUAAUUGCAUGCAUCCUCACACGGCGAGAGGAAAGAAAAACACGCUUCUUCAUGGUAAAAUCGGAUAGAACGGAAAUGAUUCUUCAUAGAUAUCGCUUUUUUUCGAUAUUAAGAUAUUAUUUCUGCGUUGAGGAUAGUCCAAGAAAGAGUUUGUCUCGCUGGUCGAAGGACCACGUGUGUGUAUAUAUAUAUAUAUACACACAUACCUAUGUCAGCGUUUCUUCAGCGUGUUAAGCAAGAUAUAUACGAGGCGGAGAUUUUGCAAGUUUGCGCUGUCUUUGUAGAUAUUGCAGGGGCCGUUUUUAAAAGUUACCGCGAACCGUGAAGCAGACGCAAAGGAGAAUACCGGAAGUUACGACACCUUCCCUCGACCGCGCGAUAGUCAACAGGAAAUCGAACCGCGCGGAGCUGCCUAACAGUACUAAAGGUCAUAAGAAAAAUAACGCUUUGUAGCGUAACGUAUAGUGAAUGAUUUCCAUGAUAAGAUCGCAACAUAUAUAUAUAUCUACAUUGUGAAUUGUGUGCUCGCGCGCGCGUGAGAGAGGAGAAGUAUACAUUUUACUUAUGGUUGAUGUGGCGAAGCAUGACGGAACUCAAGGUGGAUCCGUGCCAAUGGCGUACUAUUUAGCGAAUACUUAGACGUAAUACUUUCCUGAAUAUUGUAUAAGCUAACACUUGAAAAAUUGAAUGCACGUUUUAAUUAAAUGAGGAUAAAUGGAAAUAAUUUAAUGUAAUAUUGAUCAAUAACUACUCUUGUAUAUGUAAAGUCCUACGGUAGAUCAUCGUUCGCGUACUUUUAAACAACAUUUCAACGUUGAAUGCGCAUUCCAGCUUCUUUAAUGGUGACGGCAAAGAUUAUCGUGCAUUCCAGGAGAUAUGUGUGUUCGUGCACGUGCAUGCGCCUACGUGGUAGAAAUAUAUUCUAGCGAGGAGAAGCGUCGAAGGUCGCUACCACGUUGGAAUUUGACGAAAGAAAGGCGCACGCUAAAAACCGCACCGUGAAAAUUAAGAUAUUCGCGGCGAAAUAGCAGAGAUAGCGAUUGCAAAUACCGGAUACAAGAUAGCGUCGAGUAGAAUUACGCGAAUGAAACGGGAUAAAUGUCCGAGUUCUAACGGUGCUCCAAUUGUGGAAGGAGAAACUCGCAAACUUCGUUCAAAAUAACGGGAUACAAUUAUUUCAUGAUUCGCGAAUAAAAUUGCACAUUUUUAGAGAUUUUUUAAAAGCGCGUUCAAGAGUUUUAUUUGUCUUAAGAAUUGAGAUAUAUUAUACAGAGUGUCUGACAUAAAGUGUCACAAACUAAAGAUCAUCAUUUUUGCAUG